CUGACUAAGGUUUCCUUUCGCCAUCUUGUCGCAAAUUGUUCUACCAUGUGAAGCAACUUGAGGACUACCUCCACCACCAGCGGGUGAAGCAGGAACCGAUUUUGAUCUCGGCAGACUUUCAAAGAAUGGAUCUUUCCAACCAUCCCUACUGCUAAUACCCAAAGGUUCAAGUAAGUUUGAAGCAGCACCAUUGUUCCAGCCAAGUUUGCCAGUGGACUUUUGCGAACCCAUGGAAGCCGAGUUAGCAGGUUUGGCAUUCCUAUCUGUGAUUGCAAGCAUUUCACCUAGUGUGCUGCUCC
rnacentral:lncRNA from 1 species